rnacentral:lncRNA from 1 species
ACGUCACGGUGGCAGGUUCUAAGCGCUGCUGGGCACCGUAAGGCCGCCGUGUGUACCUUCCAGUAGCUACGGGCUGGUGGAAGCGCUGCUCACAGUCAGUGUCGGUACGUCUUCGUCCGCCCUUACCCUCCUUAUCCUGCUCCAGGUAGCGGAGAGCCGCCUCCCGCCGCGCCCCCGCCACCGAGGCCCGGGUCAGAGGCUAGAGGCCGCCCGCCCCUGCGCGGCCCUUUCCCCUGAGCCCGCGGAGCCCGCCGCCCCGGGCCUCGGGGCGACGAUGCUGGAGUCCAUUCGCGUGACGGUCUAUCAAUAUUAUGGAACUGACUUUACAGAAAUAUGGAAGUUAUGAAAAAUUUGAACAAGCCACUGGUGGUAGCUUGCUCUCUAAAACUCGAAUCUGGAGUCACGUUAGGAAGUACAUGAUGAAGGAAGGCUGCCUAGGGGAGAUUGUAGUUCAUCUCACUGAGGACCUGCUUUCCCGAGCGUCAAUGACAGUAGUAAAUGGAUGUCCGACUCUGACUAUCAAUGUGUCCACUGCACGUGAGCAUUGGCUGGAGGGAAUGCUGAGGCAUGAAAUAGGUACACAUUAUUUUCGAGGUAUUAACA